GAGAGAAAGAACAGACCAGCGCCCUUCCCGACUACAUCCGAAACUUCACACAGGGUGUUUCUGAGCACCAGCACUUCCAGCGCUUCACUUAACGGCAUAAAGCAAAACAGGACCUUGGCACACCGUCAGCUCGAACUCAACACUGGCAGCCACCGUCUCACCCCUGCGGAGGAGCGCUCCCGUCUCCCACAGGUGCCUUACCGCGUUCCCUCCCGCUGCUUUCAUUUUUCUGACCUAAUAAUUACGGGAAAUGGAAAGUCUGGGCCAGCAUCAAUAAAAUGACACCAAAAAUAAGUAGAUGAAAUCAAAUGAAUAUGAGAACAUCUUGUUCUUCAAUAUCACGGGUUUUUGUUAAUGUUUCAUAAGUAAUUCUCCCCACUUGAUUUUUCUUCUAUAAAAUCCCAUAGAACAAUGUUUAUGCUAUAGCCAUUUAAUAUAUGUACAAAUUGUAAAGAAUAUGUAUAAAUGUUUUACACGAAUGUAAGAGCAUGUAGAAGCCAACAUAUAAAUAAAUUGUUUAAAAAAACUGUACAGUAAAUUCUCAAAGCACUUUUUCAAAACACUUUUUGG
rnacentral:lncRNA from 1 species